rnacentral:rRNA from 1 species
UACGAAGGGGGCUAGCGUUGCUCGGAAUUACUGGGCGUAAAGGGCGCGUAGGCGGCACUGUUAGUCAGGCGUGAAAGUCCUGGGCUCAACCUGGGAACUGCGCUUGAUACGGCAGAGCUAGAGGAUGGAAGAGGGUCGCGGAAUUCCCGGUGUAGAGGUGAAAUUCGUAGAUAUCGGGAGGAACACCAGUGGCGAAGGCGGCGACCUGGGCCAAUACUGACGCUGAGGUGCGAAAGCGUGGGGAGCAAACAGG